GCCAGGAGCGGUGGCCCGUGCCUGUAGUCCCAGCUACUCAGGAGGCUGAGGUGGGAGGAGGAUCGCUGGAGCCCAGGAGUUCUGGGCUGCAGUGCGCUAUGCCGAUUGGAUGUCCACACUAAGUUCGGCAUCAAUAUGGUGACCUCCUGGGAGCGGGGGACCACCAGGUUGCCUAAGGAGGGAUGAACCGGCUCAGGUUAGAAACGGAGCAGGUCAAAACUCCUGUGCUGAUCAGUAGUGGGAUCGUGCCUGUGAAUAGCCACUGCAUUCCAGCCUGGGCAACAUAGCGAGACCCCGUCUCUA
ensembl:misc_RNA Metazoa_SRP Metazoan signal recognition particle RNA